GACUGUUAGCACACCUUUGUCACGCCUGUAAGUUUAUGUUUGGUUUUGGUCAGGUUAUGUUUAGUUUUUUGACAUUUGGUUCUGUCUUUUCAAUUCCUGGUUUUUGUUACCAUAGCUAGUCAUUAGUUUACCCUAGUCACGCCCCGAUCAUCAGCCUCUCACACCUGUUUCUCAUUACCACUGCUACUAUUUAAGGAUUUUACUUUCUGUCCAUCAGUCUGGGAUCUUCAUACUCGCACGCACCCUACCCAUGCUGUUCCAACCUUCACGCCCUCGUCCACAGUUCCAUGCCGUGUGAGGGGAGCAGCGAGCAGCAGUGAUGGCCGCUUUCGGGAAUCAUUUUGGUGAUUUAACCCCCAAUUCCAACCCUUGUUGCUGAGGGCCAAGCAGGAAGAUCUGGGGAAAGGUGGAGACACCAGGGUGCCCCCUCUGCCGGAGGAGAGGAACCUUGGAGCACAUUCUAAACUGUUGUCCAAAAGCCCUGUGUGAAGGGCGGUACCGCUGGCGACAUGACCAGGUCCUGAAAGCCAUAGCUGAUAUCAUCUGCAGGGGAGUCAGUCACAGCAAGAGCCUCCGCCCAGUGAAGAGCACCGCUUUCAUCAGAGCUGGGGAGAAGUCAACACCGGCUGCCCGGAACACCUCUUCUGGUCUGUUGGCAACAGCACGCGACUGGGAGCUGUCAGUUGAUCUGUGAAAGCAGUUGAAGUUCCCUGACGUGGUUGCCAAAACAACACUAAGGCCAGAUAUUGUGCUCACCUCAGUGGCCUCCAAGCAGGUACUCCUCCUGGAGCUCACAGUGCCUUGGGAGGACCGUAUGGAGGAGGCCAAUGAGAGGAAGAGCGCAAAGUACUCUCAGCUUGUGGACGAGUGUCGGAGCAAUGGGUGGCGAGCGAUGUUCCGGCCCGUUGAAGUGGGAUGUCGAGGGUUUGUGGGCAAAUCUCUCUGCAGGGCCUACAGAAUGCUUGGCAUCACUGGGGCCAGCCAGCAAAGGGCCAUGAAGUUAGCCACAGAUGCAGCAGAAGUGGCAUCAAGGUGGCUGUGGAUCAGGAGGGGAGAGGCGUGGCAUGUAGGGCAGUAGCGCUACCUGGACACAGGCUGGGGCCUGAUCAACCUUGGUUGGGUCGCCUAGGGGAGGGGGUCUGAUUGUUGAAAGACCCGAAACCCCCUGUGAUCCUAGGUUACAUCACUGAGGAUGUGUCUAGUUGCACCGUUGGUGUAUUUAAAAACUUCCCGACAGUGCUCUUAUUUAGUUAAAUUUCCUGUUUGUUCUGCGGAGCACUGUUGUCUCUUCACCUGCUGUUGAUUGGCAGCCGGUCCACACCUGUUGCCAAUCAGCAUAUGUCUAUUUAUGUUUUCACUCGAGCACUUCUCAGUGCUCGAAGAUCACACUAUGUUUGGAACCUUUUUUUUUGCAAGACUGCUUCAUUUUUCUGUUACAUGAGAUUAAACUCGUCACACCUUC